UAGAUAAAGACGGAGUCCCUAUUCUGCACUCAAACAAACCAGUAGUUUCUAACAAGCUAUGGAACUACUUAGCAAGAUAAACUUUUUGUCUGUCUUUUGUUGCCUUUGUUUAAACUUAGGCGUUGCUAGAGACACCAUUAUAUCUCCACAAUCCAUCAGAGACCCAGACUACAUAAUCUCCAAUGGGAGUGCUUUCAAACUGGGAUUCUUUAGCCCAGUAAAUUCUACUAAUCGCUACCUUGGAAUAUGGUAUAAUAGAAUAUCUGUAUUCACUGUCGUAUGGGUAGCAAACAGAGAGAAACCCCUCAAGGAUUCUUCUGGGGUACUUACUAUAUCAGAGGACGGCAAUCUUGUAGUAUUAGAUGGACAAAAGGAGAUUCUUUGGUCAUCAAAUGUUACAAACUGUGUUGCCAAUUCAAAUUUCCACCUUUCGGAUUCAGGGAACCUCGUCUUGCGAGAAAACACUAGAGGGAAAAUCAUAUGGGAGAGUUUCCAACAUCCCUCUAAUACAUUCUUGCCAAAGAUGAAACUUAGUAUCAGUUUAAGGACAAAUCAGACAGUACAGUAUACAUCAUGGAAAAGCCCUUCUGAUCCAUCCAUUGGAAGUUUCUCUUUAGGCAUGGCUCCAGGGAGCAUUCCUGAAGCUUUCAUAUGGAAAGAUGGUCGUCCAUACUGGCGGAGUGGUCCAUGGAAUGGUCAGAUCUUUAUUGGUGAACCUGACUGGAAUCCAGAAUAUCAUAAUGGAUUUAGUGUGGUAGAUGAUAAAGAAGGUACAGUUUAUUCAACUUUUGAUUAUGCGAAUGAGUUACUUUUAUCAAAAUUUGUGUUGAAUUCACAAGGAAACCUAGUGCAGACAUAUUGGGAUGAUAGCAAGGAGGAUUGGAAGGUUGUGGGGUUAGCACCAAAAGAUGAGUGUGAUGUUUAUGGCACUUGUGGUGCAUUUGGAAGCUGUGAUUCGCAGAGGAAACCAAUCUGUAGCUGUAUUAGAGGGUUUGAGCCAAAGAUUAUUGAGGAAUGGAACAGAGGAAAUUGGACAAGUGGGUGUAUUAGGAGGGCAGCAUUGCAGUGUCAAAGGGUGAAUAAUAGUGGUGAAGAAGGAAAAGCAGAUGGGUUCUUGAAAUUGAAGAUGUACAAAGUGCCAGACUUUAUGGAGAGGUUAUAUGGGGCUAAAGAGAGUUGUCGAAAGCAGUGCUUGGAGAACUGUGCUUGUGUAGCUUAUGCACAUGAUGCUGGAAUUGGUUGUAUGUCAUGGAGUGGAAACUUAAUUGACCUAAGGAAAUUCUCCAUUCAUGGAUCAGAUAUAUAUAUUCGUCUGGCCUAUUCCGAAUUCAACAAAGAGAGAUAUUUGAAAGUAAUCAUCAGAAUUACACUGAUUAUUGGAGUGAUUGCCAUUGCCAGCACGGCAUGCUACUUAUGGAGGUGGACUGCUAAAAAGCGAGCAAGAAAAAUUAAAAGCAGGAAGAGCUUGCUGCUUGACUACUUGAACGAUGUUAAACUCAAUGAGCUGACAGUUUUCAGUUUGAAAGAAGUGGCAACUGCAACAAACAACUUUCAUGUAUCUAAUAUGCUUGGGAGAGGUGGCUUUGGUUCAGUCUAUAAGGGAAAAUUGCAUGAUGGACAGGAAAUAGCAGUGAAAAGACUGUCAACAUCCUCUCGACAAGGGCUUGAAGAAUUUAUGAAUGAGGUGGUGGUGAUUUCUAAACUCCAACAUCAAAAUCUUGUUAGACUUCUUGGCUAUUGUACUGAGGGAGAAGAAAAGGUGUUGAUCUAUGAGUACAUGCCAAACAAAAGUUUGGACGCAAUUGUUUUUGAUCCACUCAACCAAAGACUCCUUGAUUGGAAAAAACGCUUCAACAUUAUUGAAGGAAUUGGUCGAGGUCUGCUAUACCUUCAUAGGGAUUCUAGAAUGAAGAUUAUUCAUAGAGAUCUAAAGGCAAGUAAUAUCUUGUUAGACGAAGACUUGAAUCCAAAAAUAUCGGAUUUUGGAAUUGCUAGAAUUUUCGAUGGCAUUGAAAAUCAAGCUAAUACUAAAAGGGUUAUUGGGACAUACGGAUAUAUGUCUCCUGAAUAUGCAAUGCAAGGACUUUUUUCAGUGAAAUCAGAUGUUUUUAGCUUUGGUGUGUUGAUACUAGAGAUUGUUAGUGGGAGAAAAAACACUAGCUUUUACAAUGAUGAACAGUACUACUUGAGCCUUGUAGGAUUUGCAUGGAAAUUGUGGAAUGAUGGCAAUAGUAUGGCUUUGAUCGAACCAGCAAUAUGGGAUCCUUGCUUUCGAAUGGAGAUGUUGAGAUGCAUACAUGUGGGAUUGCUAUGUGUACAAGAAAUGGCAAGAGAUAGGCCUACUAUCUCUACUGUUAUUUCGAUGCUUAAUAGUGAUAUCGUGGAUCUUCCCUUUCCUAAGCAACCUGCAUUCACCGAAAGGCAAAUUGCUUCAAAUUGUGAGCCUGCUCAACAGGAUCAAAUAAGAAUCUCCAUUUGCGAUGCCACUCUUACGACGAUUUAUGGCAGAUAAGAGUAAAGUUCUUGAGAUAAAUAUCUUUAAAUUUAUGCCCAUCCAUUAUCCAAUUCAUUGUACAUAAUGACAUUCCAUUAUAUAUAAAAUCACUUUAAAAAUAAAAAUCUCUCUUAUCUUGUUCUGUAAAUUUUUUUGGCUUUGGAGAAAUUUCGAUGCAUUUUGAUAAUAUAUUCUGAAACUUUUAUUUUAAAAUGAAACAUUCAAUACUAGUGAGUAUAAGUGUAACUAUUUAGUUCAAUAUUAAUUCCUUAUUAACUUUAAUUUGGGCCGGGGGGGAAUUUGGGUUGGGGAGUUUAAAUCCCAAUAUUUUGAUUAGAUGAUAUAAAAAGGAUAAAUAUUUAGAUUUGAAUUAAAUUCGCCAAAGAUUUUAUGAGCCCAAAAUCCUCAUAUUUAAAAAACAUAUACCCCUCUUUCAAAAGUAAUCCAAAACUUUCAAAAUGGCAAGGUCCAAUGUUCAAGUCUCAAAUCGGACAUUAAUCCAUCAGGAAAAAAGGAGUCUCCCUAUGAUAUGUCAACAUGUGCUUCACCAUGAGAAAUGAUCUUCAACAUAGAGAUAACUUUAUUGGCAAAAUCUUCAAUUUAUGCAGAAUAGUACUACCAAGUUCCGACAGGCCAGAAGACCAACAAUAGGACACAUUCAUGCAAUCAAAACAGCUUUUAAGUCCCAAGCUCGCAAGAGAAAGUUCAAGAGUUUGGACAAAAUAAUGGAAAGAAGACAGAGUACAUUUAAGUCAUACAGUCAUGCAUAUAUAAAACCUGUCCAUCAACAAGAAAUAUUAGGACAGAUCACAGAUGCUUAGCCCUGUAAAUUCUGCCAAGCUGCAGUAGAUUGUCUCUCAUUCAUUGAGGGCAUUCUGGCAACAGCUGCCUUCCUAGAGGCUAGUGGAGUCCCAUUUAUACCAAUUGUUGUGGUAUAGCUUGAAUCAUUUUCCUCUUAUAUCUCCAAAUACUUUGUGCAUGAGGGGUGUCAAUUAAGUUGCAGGUCCUAUGAACAAUGCCCAUGAACCCACAGAAAUGAAACGUAGACCAGUCGAUAGCGCAAAACGUGCUAUCCAAACUCACACUAGUGCAUUUUCAACAAACUUAUUGAAUAGACAUUGAAAUGAGAAUGGCGUCCUCCAUAAGCUGAGCAGUACAAAGUGAAUUUAGAUGCAACGGUCUUCAAAUUUUUGAACUUGGCAGGCAUUGGGGUCAUUGUCCAUGAUUGGCGUGGUGAAGUGAUUGGAGCUCUAUCCAUGCCCAUUCCUCUAACUCAAACUGUGAAUGAAUUGGAGGCAUUAGCUUGUCGCAGAGCGGUUCGGUUUGCAAGUGAACUUGGACUUCGGAAAGUUAUUUUUGAAGGUGAUUCAUCGAUGGUGAUUAAUGCUCUUUCUCAAGGGUCUAGUUGUUUUUCUUCAUAUGGGAAUAUCGUUGAUGAUCUCAUUUUUCUUGUUGCUGAUUUCCAGUUUUUUGAAUUCUAUCAUUUUUUUUUUUCUUUUUGAUGAAACUAUCAUGUUGAAAUACUUUGUAAUGUUGUGGCUGAUGUUCUUGCUAAAAAGGCCAAAGACAUUAACUUUGUAAUUUUUUUUCUUUUUGAUGAAACUAUCAUGUUGGGGAUU